AUCAGAAACAAGGUAAAUAGCAGAUUAUGCAUACAUUAGCCAACAUAAGGCACAGUCAUGUGAAGAGAAUGUAGAUUCAAACUUAAACAUAAGUUUUCAUGUGUCAGUUCAGGCUAGGCAAAUUAUGAGGUUAACGUUCAUAAAUAUAACAGUAAAGGUAAGGUAAGCAUGCAAGUCAGCUGGUGUAAAAUGUAAAACAGGCUUAUCAACAAUCAAGGAACAUAAUACUCUUGUCUGACUGUAAUAAAUGAGUAUGUGUCUAACUAUGUGGACUCGCCAGGUAUGUAAAGGCUAGUUAAUACCAUGAUAGAAGUAUACAUGUAUAGGCUGUGCAACAGAAUAAAGUCAAGCUAUUUAUGGUUAGCCUGGGCGACAUUUCUAUGAGACUGUGGAGACAUAUGUGCACUUUGAUGCUAGAGAUGUAGUAAUGGUAUGCUGGGCAAUUUGUGUAUACAUAGAAGGGACUAGCUUAAUGCUGUAUUCAGAGUCCUGUAUGUGUGGAUCACCCCACUCCCGCUCUCACCACGGUGGUCCCACUGUAAGACCAAAGUCCAGCUUUUUGCUGAUGCCCCCUUGAAAGCCUAGCAUAUCUCAUUGAUAUUACAAUUAUGGCAUUUGAGCAGUGGACGUUUUUGUAUAUAGAUGUAGAAAUAAAAC